GAUCAUGGCUCAGGAUGAACGCUAGCGGCAGGCUUAACACAUGCAAGUCGAGGGGCAGCAUAAUUGAUAGCAAUAUCUAUGGUGGCGACCGGCGCACGGGUGCGUAACGCGUAUGCAACCUACCUUUAACAGGGGGAUAACACUGAGAAAUUGGUACUAAUACCCCAUAAUAUCAUAGAAGGCAUCUUUANGGUUGAAAAUUCCGAUGGUUAGAGAUGGGCAUGCGUUGUA
rnacentral:rRNA from 1 species